rnacentral:rRNA from 1 species
AAUGGGCGAAAGCCUGACGGAGCGACGCCGCGUGCGGGAUGAAGGCCCUUGGGUUGUAAACCGCUGUCAGAGGGGAUGAAUCAUGGUUGGCUAUCCUUCCAUGUUGACAGAGCCUCAGAGGAAGCACGGGCUAAGUACGUGCCAGCGGCCGCGGUAACACGUACUGUGCGAACGUUAUUCGGAAUCACUGGGCUUAAAGGGUAUGUAGGCGGUUUGGAAAGUCAGAUGUGAAAUGCCACAGCUCAACUGUGGCACUGCGUUUGAAACUUCCAAGCUAGAGUAUUCCAGGGGUGUGCGGAACUAAUGGUGGAGCGGUGAAAUGCGUUGAUAUCAUUAGGAACACCGGAGGCGAAGGCGGCACACUGGGGGAUAACUGACGCUGAGGUACGAAAGCCAGGGUAGCGAACGGGAUU